CAGUAGUAGUAGUAGAGGUUAAAAGGGUUUCCAAGAAAGAUGGCAAAAACUGAUGAUGGAGAUGGAGAACAGCAGCCUGUAACCGUCGCGGCAGCCAAAGCAGUCAGGAGUGGCCAAUUAGAAUUCAGAGUAACAGGCAGACAGCCAAUAGCAACUUACCUUUGCACACCCUUGGUGACCCCCAAGGACACUAGACCAAGGUUUUGCAAUCCAUCAUCCUUAAGCUCACACUCACUUAUCUGCUCUCUCACACCUACUCACACGCAUAUAUGCAAGCCAGCAGAGGAAUAAAUAUGCACACCUACACACACAUCUGCGUGCAGAAAUGAUCAUACUAUUGUGCUGGCAUAGACAAGCAGGGGCGACAUUAUCUGUCUCCUUCACACCCGUCCCUUCCCCCUCUAAAGCAUCACCCUUCCUCUGCAUCCGCUCGAGUGUUCUCCUCCCAACCAUCCCUAUAUCUCUCACACCUCCCUCCUGGCCUCACGCCACCGUUCCUCUCCGCACAUCUCACUGGCCUCUUUUUUCUCUGCUCCGCGGAGCCUCCGGCAUUAACCACCAUCUUGUAGUUCACAAUAACGAGGAGAACAGAGGGGGAAUUUCACACGCAGUAGGUGAAGCAGGAGCAAGACAGACACUCGUGCUGCCAGAACCAGAGGGAUGUGCUCGGGAUACAGCAGGCCCUGGGACAUGAGAGAGAGACACGUGCGCGCAUCCUGCUUCAUCUCAUCAUAGCUCUCAUCAAUCUCCACCGGGGCAAUCUGCAGGGAGAGAGGGAGACGGAGAGAGAUCGAUCCAGGAUGAGAAUUUCAAUUGCACCUUGAAGAGACAGAAGCGACGAGGGUUGAAGCUGUCUUUUCCUUUGCGAUCCUCCAGAGAGAGAAACUCUAUCAGCUGGUCAAUAAACUCGGGGUCCGAGAAAUAUUCAAAGAUGAUCUUUUCACCCUGAGUGACACAGAAACCGAAUGUAAUAAUAAUAGCGAGGAAGAGAAGCAGAGACUUUUUGUGCGGGGCGCAGUGCAGACACGUACCUCACUCAUCUCCUCGUAUGGCAGGUCAUCGUUUGGCUUUUCAGAAGCUGCAUAGAUCAUCAUUUCUCUGAAAGGAGCGGCAGACAAAGAAGAGGCUGCUGUGAUUUAUAGAUAACAACACAAAGAAAAAAUCUGGAUAGACACAUACUGUCUUCAAAUAAGCAGCAAGGAUAAAUGAAUGAUUAUAAAGUCAGUUAGUCAGCAAGCCGUCCGCAUGCCGAGACAGCCAGCCAGCCCUCCACCUAUACAUCAAUUCUCCUAUCUAGGCCAGGCAGCAAGUCGUUCUGUAAGCCUUAUCUGGGCCAGGCCGUGACAGAAAGUCACUUCAACAUCCUGCUAGUUAUCCAGCCACCCAGAUCAGUCAUCUAGCAGUUCGUCAGACAUGAACGUGGCCACAAAAGGCUCAGAGAUAAGCAUCAAAUCAACCAGGCAGUUAAGUCAAUCUGCUGUUUUAUUCCCUCCAACCAGGCCGUUAAUCAGCCGCCCGCUUUCUGAAUCCGCUGUCGUUUACCUCGGCCAUGAGUGGUAGCCACAGUGUGUUUUCUCCAUAUAAUGCUGAGAGUCCCACUGCUCCUGAGUCAGAGGUAGGUUGUUGCUGUCAUACUGCAGCCAGCGGUUCCCCUCACGAUCCCCAACACACACCCCCUCCAGUUCCUCCUCGAUGCCACCUGCAGAUAUCCCAUAAAACAUCCACACAAAUAAAUGUGUUAUUUGCCUUUUUUUGGAGGCGAGUGAGUGUUUUGGAAAGCCUCCCAGUUUCUACAAAAGACUACAAAAAAACUUGAAGCAAUUUAUCAUUUUUAAUAAACAGCAAAUAUGGAUGUA